rnacentral:lncRNA from 1 species
AAGGUCCGAUUAUUUUUAGAUCGGAUGGGGGGAGAGGCCCUACAGCGCCCAUAUAUGCCCCCACCACCCUGUUAGGGACAGGAGGAGAACCUCACCCUAAUAUGAGCAAAGUCGAAGACCCGAUUAUCCUUAGAUCGGAUGGGGGGAGAGACCUUGCAACACCCAUAUAUGCCCCCACAGUCCUGUUAGGAACAGGAGAGGAACCUCAUCCUAACCUGAGCUGAAAUUGACUGCAUCAAAAAUAGGGGAAGAACCUCAUCCUGACACCAACUAAGGUCCGGCCAUUCGAGACCUGAUA